AAGUCGUAACAAGGUUUCCGUAGGUGAACCUGCGGAAGGAUCAUUAACGAGUUAGGGUCUUUUAGGCCCGAUCUCCCAACCCUUUGUUUACCAAACCGUUUUGUUGCUUCGGCGAGCCCGUCUUCACGGACCGCCGGGGGACCUAUCCAGGACCCCUGGCCCGCGCUCGUCGAUGGCCCAAACCUUUAAAUUCUUAACUAAACGUGUUAUGACUGAGUACCAAUUUUUAAUUAAAAGCAAAACUUUCAACAACGGAUCUCUUGGUUCUG
rnacentral:misc_RNA from 1 species